GUAGCAAUACCGGGUGGCGACCGGCGCACGGGUGAGUAACGCGUAUGCAACUUACCUAUCAGAGGGGGAUAACCCGGCGUAAAGUCGGACUAAUACCGCAUGAAGCAGGGGCCCCGCAUGGGGAUAUUUGCUAAAGAUUCAUCGCUGAUAGAUAGGCAUGCGUUCCGUUAGGCAGUUGGCGGGGUAACGGCCCACCAAACCGACGAUGGAUAGGGGUUCUGAGAGGAAGGUCCCCCACAUUGGUACUGAGACACGGACCAAACUCCUACGGGAGGCAGCAGUGAGGAAUAUUGGUCAAUGGCCGAGAGGCUGAACCAGCCAAGUCGCGUGAGGGAUGAAGGUUCUAUGGAUCGUAAACCUCUUUUAUAAGGGAAUAAAGUGCGGGACGUGUCCCGUUUUGUAUGUACCUUAUGAAUAAGGAUCGGCUAACUCCGUGCCAGCAGCCGCGGUAAUACGGAGGAUCCGAGCGUUAUCCGGAUUUAUUGGGUUUAAAGGGUGCGUAGGCGGCCUUUUAAGUCAGCGGUGAAAGUCUGUGGCUCAACCAUAGAAUUGCCGUUGAAACUGGGGGGCUUGAGUAUGUUUGAGGCAGGCGGAAUGCGUGGUGUAGCGGUGAAAUGCAUAGAGAUCAUACAGAACACCGAUUGCGAAGGCAGCUUACCAA
rnacentral:rRNA from 1 species